ACGGGCAGUGGCCGUGCGAGGCCGCGGGGCUCUCGGCCAGGGCCGCUCCCGGCAGGAACCGCGGCCGCUGAGCCGGGAGCGAAGGCGCGGAGCCGGGAGCGGCCAUGGCGAAGCCGGGGAGCGGCGGUGCCGGGCCCGGAGGAUGAGGGAGCCAGCCCUGCCUGGAGGAAGAGGAGGAGGUGUGGGAGGAUGGAGACAGCGGCCACCAAAGGCUGGGGAAGGCACAGGUCCAGGCUCUGGAUGAAGUCCUUCCUUUCCCAAGGGAGAGGAAAGCCAGCAGGAUGUGAACCACAGGUGGUGCUUUAGGAAAGCCCCUCCAGCCUGGGAAGGUGCUUUUGGCUCCAGACACAUUCCCAGAGCCCAGGAGCAGCAGGACCUGUGCUGUGCCCAGCAGAGAAAAGCUGCCAAGGAAUAAAGCAAGAGCUUUCCCCAGUGAAAACCUGCCCAGUCCCAUGCUGGGUUUGCACACACACAAGGUUCAAUCCCUGCUGGAAUUCCAGUCACACCUCCAGAUCAAUGUGCAGUUUAAGGUCUCACAGCCUGACCAGGACAAUCUCUUGCCUCUGGACAUGGAAAAUCAAUUUUUCCUUGUUACAGCACCAGCUCCAGAAUCCUCUGAGGCUGAAACAAAGACAAGGAACCUUCUGAGAUGGAAAGAGGCCAGAGCAAGUUGUUGUGGGAAAGGAAGAUGAAAGAUGGGAAACAUUUGAGCAAGAGGUGCUGAAAAGAGCUGGAGUUUCUGUUUUUGAGUCUCCGACUUAAACUCACCCUGGAUUGUCCAACUUCCAUGGACUGGUCACCGUGGCCAGGAGUGUCCAAUCCUGCUGGAAUGCACUGGAGCAGGAGCUCAUUUUCAUUUUGUGCUGGUAAAGACUCUCUGGGUGACCCCCAGUGACUGGAAGGACCAGACUGGGCUCCCAGGGCACUAAUUCCAGGGGUUCUGUUUUUGGGAGCAGCACAGGAGCCGUUCCCUUGCCCAGAGGAGCAGCCAGUGCCUCCCUUGGUCCACAGAUCCCCAGGACUGACCACAGAGGAAAUGACAGGAAUGUGGAAAUCCCCCACAGUGGAGUUUGUGGUGCUCUGGAUGACAUCUUGGAUUUUUAAUGUUAAAGGGGGGCUGUGGAAUGACUUCUCUCCUUUUUAUUGUCAUUGUUCUCACUGCUCGUGUUGCUCUCACUGAUAUUAUGUGUUGUCAUUAAUAUUAAAUGAUUGUAUUUGACUGGUUUCCAUUAUUAAACUGUUCUGAGCUGGG